AAAUCGCUGAGCCUGUUCUGACUCAUACAGAGAACGAUGCAGAAGCAGAAGCAAGGAGGUACCUCCACCCAGCCCUGCUCUCCUCACCACUCUCCAGAGCCCCGAGGAAAGGGCCUCAGUUCUAGAAAAGGCAGAAGAAGAACUUCAGUAAAGGUGGACUUGAAUACCUGCUUUCAUACUUUUACGUGACAAGCGACAAGACCCAACACUUCUUAAGCAAAAUGCAGUGGUUUGCAUCAAUCAAGUGUAUUUCCCGCUAGCAGCCUGAAACGCUUUGCGGGAGGAGACAGAGAUCACAAGCCGGCAGAGAGAGAGA